rnacentral:rRNA from 1 species
CAACUGCAAGUGGUGGGUCUCUCGGAACG